UUAUUAGUCCACAAUCAGGCAGGGG
rnacentral:misc_RNA from 1 species